rnacentral:lncRNA from 1 species
GCCCGAAAGGGUGGGGAUUUUUAAGUAACUGCGAAGUUAUAGAGUUUGGCUGCUUUGCUAGCUCUAUCACAAACACACAGUGAGUUCCUUACUACAAUGACUGCCCUCCUCUGCCUCUGGCACAGACCCCCCCCCACCCCCGCCCCCCAACAUCGCGCCUAUAGCUAUUUUUAAACAGGAGGCUGGAGAGAAAAACUAGGCCAAUGAACCAAGGGGAAAAGAGGCAAGGCGAGGCGAGGAGACAAAGCUGCCCUGCAGCUCUAACCAAAGGAUCAGCAAGAAACCUGUUAUAGGCCCGCCUGCCAGCCGGGUCUGGCGCCAGAUGUGCUUUGGAGGCCCAAAAGGAGAGGAUGAGACUUGGGGCCACAGGGCCAAGGUUCCAAAGGGAAGGCAGCGGCCCACGGGCCAACUGAGGUCGACUGGGAAGUGCAGUGCGGAGAUUCUGAUCUAUGCCUAAACCAGUCGCCAUCCGGCCCAAGCGAGCUCCCAGGGUUCAUUCGAAAACAGAGGCAGGAGAGGCACAGCAGAGAGAAGAGGGAGGGGCCUCAGCAAGGCCUCAGGGGUGAGCAGUAUGGGCAUAACACAGCUGUUCCAGCAAAAGUGCUACAACAAAGCUUCACCACCCCAGGCCUACAAAUACACUGCUGGGGGUGCUGGUUGGAGGGGGGACGACUGCGCAGUAGCACGUGCGGGCCCAUCCCCACGUCCAAGUGCCCGAAGGAGUAUUCUCUAUUGCUCUGCUGGGUCCUGUCUGCGUUGAAAAGACCCAGCUGCUGA